UAUCCUUUAAUUCAAUAGGUAGAAUAUUAAACUACGGAUUUAAUAAUAUUGGUUCAAGUCCAAUAGGGAUUA